rnacentral:tRNA from 1 species
GACUUAAUACUUUAAAUUAAAAAGAUUUGAUUUGCAUUCAAAAAAUAGAUUUUUAUAAUCUUUAGGUCA